rnacentral:rRNA from 1 species
UACAGAGGGUGCAAGCGUUGUCCGGAUUUUACUGGGCGUAAAGAGCGCGUAGGCGGAAAGUUAAGCGGGGCCGGAAAGCCCCCGGCUCAACCGGGGAAGGGGCCGUGAACUGGCUUUCUUGAGGGGGAGAGGGGAGAGCGGAAUUCCUGGUGUAGCGGUGAAAUGCGUAGAGAUCAGGAGGAACACCAAUGGCGAAGGCAGCUCUCUGGCUUCACCCUGACGCUGAGGCGCGAAAGCGUGGGGGAGCGAACGGG